rnacentral:rRNA from 1 species
UUUGGUAGCCAUAGAGGAGAGGGUACACCCGACCCCAUUCCGAACUCGGAAGUUAAGCUCUCCAUUCCGAACUCGGAAGUUAAGCUCUCCAUCGCCGAUGAUACUGCAUAACGUCAUGUGGGAAAGUAGGCCGCUGCCAAAG